rnacentral:rRNA from 1 species
GACGAACGCUGGCGGCGUGCCUAAUACAUGCAAGUAGAACGCACAGUUUAUACCGUAGCUUGCUACACCAUAGACUGUGAGUUGCGAACGGGUGAGUAACGCGUAGGUAACCUGCCUGGUAGCGGGGGAUAACUAUUGGAAACGAUAGCUAAUACCGCAUAAUAUUGAUUAUUGCAUGAUAAUUGAUUGAAAGAUGCUAUUGCAUCACUACCAGAUGGACCUGCGUUGUAUUAGCUAGUAGGUGAGGUAACGGCUCACCUAGGCGACGAUACAUAGCCGACCUGGGAGGGUGAUCGGCCAAACUGGGACUGAGACACGGCCCAGACUCCUACGGGAGGCAGCAGUAGGGAAUCUUCGGCAAUGGACGAAAGUCUGACCGAGCAACGCCGCGUGAGUGAAGAAGGUUCUCGGAUCGUAAAGCUCUGUUGUAAGAGAAGAACGGGUGUGAGAGUGGAAAGUUCACACUGUGACGGUAUCUUACCAGAAAGGGACGGCUAACUACGUG